ensembl:miRNA
UAGGCUGUAUGUUGUUAAUGCUAAUCGUGAUAGGGGUUUUUACCUAUGACUGACUCCUACAUGUUAGCAUUAACACUGUAUGAUGCCUUU